rnacentral:rRNA from 1 species
GACAAGUCUGGUGUCAGCACCCCGCGGAAAUACCAGCUCUAAUAGCGUAUAUUAAAGUUGUUGCGGUUAAAAAGCUCGUAGUUGGUUCUGUGUGCCAUGCUGUUGGUUCACCGCCUGCCGGUGUAACUGACAUGUCAUGGGACGUACUGUCGGUGGUGAUUUAAAGAACCGAUUUUUGGUUUUAAGGUAAAAACUUAAACCAGAAAGAGGAAAUCUUUAGUUGCCGAUUAACUCCUACCGCGGUGCUCUUUACUGAGUGUCGAGGUGGGCCGACAUUUUUACUUUGAACAAAUUAGAGUGCUUAAAGCAGGCAAAAAUCUGCCUGAAUAGUGGUGCAUGGAAUAAUAGAAUAGGAUCUUGGUUCUAUUUUGUUGGUUUUUAAGAAUCCAAGGUAAUGAUCAAUAUGGACAGGCGGGGGCAUUCGUAUUGCGACGUUAGAGGUGAAAUUCUUGGAUCGUCGCAAGACGAACUAGAGCGAAAGCAUUUGCCAAGUAUGUCUUAAUUGAUCAAGAACGAAAGUUAGAUGCGCGAAGGCGAUCAGAUACCGCCCUAGUUCUAACCAUAAACGAUGUCAGCCAGCGAUCCGUCGAUGUUUUUUUCAUU